CUUUAUUUAUUCUGUAUUUGCAUUCUGAACGGUAGGCUCCAUUUGAAAGGUAUGACAGGACAGGAGUUUGGGCAUCAUCUUUUAGACAGUACAGAGCUCUUGGAGCUUUUGCACAAACAAAGGGUACAUAGAAGGGGGUGUUGCUGAGAAAUGAUGGUGGCUAUGGCAUUUGCAGGGGACUCAACAAGAAGUAACAGGGGCCAGAGGGAGAGUCCCUCUAGGACUGUUGCUAUGACUCCAAAAAAAUCCUAAGAACCUGGGCUCGGGUAUUGGUUGAGUGGAAGAGUCAAAGUGUAAGGGACUCAUCAACCGCCAUCAUCAACUGCCAGCGCUGGGUGAUGGAAGACGUUGGAAUGUGUCUUCAAGACAAUCCAUGGGUUAAACAUGAGGUCUGGCAAAGGGCCAGCAAGCAACCAUCGGAGAGAUGUAGAAUGGUCAAUGGAUGGAGCUGAAACCUCAGGGGUUACAGAGGAUACCUCCAGAGCCACUGAUGAGCGCAGAUGGAUUUCAAGCGCCCCAUCUCCGUCCAGUCUGGGCAGGUUUCGCUUUAACUCUUAAAUUACUGUGGGUUGACUGGACUUGAACAUUCCAUUACUAAAAUGAAGUUUGAAAGUCAAUGCUGGAAGACUUGGCCUACUGCAAAUGAAACACGAUUGCGAUUCGCUGCGAGAAAAAGCUAAACAACCUAAAGGUCCAUAAACAAGGGAAGAAUUAUACUGACUGUGGCCUAGCCCAUGUGUGAACUGUUAGACGUGACCAACAAGAGCCCUGCACAGAAAUCAACCAGCACAGGGGCGCCCUUGUUUUGUUCAGGGCCUGGAUCAAGUUUCAGGAUGAGGCAUCAGGUAUCACACUUACAGCACAAAGCCAAUCCUCUGUUAUUUUUGUGUAGGCUGAUAUGAAGGAUGAAAUAAGUGGGCAGUGCAUCAGAUCAGAUUGAUAGGAUUUUUUUUUUGGAAGUGGGGGAAGCCCUGCAAUUAAAAGAGGUUACAAUAACCACAUUUUAUUUAAUUUCUUAGUGUGGGGCUGGGGAUCCUUCUGCACUGGAUAUGUGGUUAUUGGCCAG
rnacentral:lncRNA from 1 species